rnacentral:rRNA from 1 species
CCCUUAGAUGUCCUGGGCCGCGCGCGCGCUACACUGAGUGUCUGAGAUACGAGUCUGCCUGGUCCGGCAAGGUCUAGGUAAUCGCUAAAAGACACAUCAUGCUUGGGAUAGAUUAUUGCAAAUAUUAAUCUUGAACGAGGAAUUCCUAGUAAGCGCAAGUCAACAGCUUGCGUUGAUUACGUCCCUGCCCUUUGUACACACCGCCCGUCGCUACUACUGAUUGGAUGUUUAAGCGAGGUUCUCGAACUGCUAGCGACUUAGCUUCGGUGAGGUCGCAGUGUGGGAAGUGAACCUAGCUUUGGUGUCUAGAGGAAGUAAAAGUCGUAACA